rnacentral:lncRNA from 1 species
GAACCCCUCCAGGUGGUGCCCCCGGGCUGGUCGGCAUCGCCGAGCUGCAGCCGCGCCCCCGCCGCGUCGGAGCUGUGGAGCCCGCCAGAAACUGUCUUCUGUAUAGCUGGUCACAUCACCGUCUGUGUGCGCAUGUUCAGAAAUGCUCGGGCCCUGGCACUGUCAUUGGCUGUGAUUCAGGUAGGAGUCUACGCUGCGGGGAGAGGAAUUUUAGAUGCGUGCUGGUUAGAAGUCAAGAUUUUCAACUUCCCUCUUGUCCUGGAUUUGUGGGCAGGAUGUCUGAAAGAAUAGAGAGGACAGACGUUGGGACUCAGCCGAGCCGACAAAGGAGACACGGCCUCUUUUCUCAACUAUCUCGAAAGUGGAUGGGAAGGACAGGAUGUAAAUGUACGUAUAAAAUAAACAUUAAAUACUUGCAGGUGAUCACUAACAUUUAUUAAGUGUUACUAUGUAGCAGGUAUGGUGUGCAGGAUUUUAUCCAUACAAACCCACUUCAUUAACAGCCCUAUUUUGUAGAUGAGACAAUUUGUGUGCUGAACAGUUUGCCCCGCAGUGCAAAACUCAGGGUGAGAGAGAUGAACCUAGGAUUGUGGUUCUACUGCUCUUGGCCAUUGGACUCCC